UACAAGAACAAGAAGAAGAAGAACCAU
rnacentral:sRNA from 1 species